rnacentral:lncRNA from 10 species
AAUUUUCUGUUGGGUAUUGCUGCUCAUCUAGAAAACACCAGCUACCAAUAGAUGUCCUCUCUGUGCCGAAAUACUGCUUACCUCAGGGGAUAUUGGCUUGCUUGCUUCCUUUUCUGCCACCGCCCUCCCCCACACCCCCCACCAUGCAAAUCCCCCUGGGAAAGAAGAAAGUUGGACAGGAACAAGAUAGGUUAGACACUUACGCCCUGGAGAGAGGUCCUUGAGCAACAGAAGUUAUUUGGAAUCAACUCAUCAACAAGUCACAGAAGGCAUAAUUUUAAUUCUGAAAGAGAAUAUAAAUCCUAUGAGCCCUGGCAAUGUCCACAUUGAAAUUUAUGACAAUAGUUUGGGAGGUGGAAGCAGAGAAAGAGACCUGAUGGGCGUGUGGGAACCCUACUAUUAAAUAGCACAGAGGGAAGAGGAACUGUUUUAAGGUGAAAGACUACAGAAUAAAGUUUUGAGAAUAUUAUUUAAAGUCCUGAUGGUAACCGAUAGAAAACCUAGAAAUAAGAUUGUAUCUGACUAAAUAUGGGACAAGUCAGGAGGAGUGUAGAGUAAUAUUGUGUGACUGAGCACAAUCCCCACAUUUGGUAGCCCCUGAGAUGGACUCCCGUGAUCCCUGACCCGAGCUAUUGUAACACUUUGUAAUCCCAUCCGUUUGACCAUAGACCAGACUUACUGACUUCUAACAAAUAGGAUACAACAGAAGUGUUGAGAUGUCACUUCCCAGAUUAGUUUACGCAGAAACUUUGGCUUUAUCUGAGGCACCCACUCUAUUGCUCUCCGGAUUGCUCCAAGGGAAGACAGCUGCCAUUUGAUGAGCUGCCCACAUGACAGAGAACA